ensembl:lncRNA
UGAAAAAUGACAUAGGCCUAUCUCAGCAUAUUAAAUCACAGUGGCACAUUCGUUCAGUCGAGGCACAGAAAGGCAACACAAACUGUAAACACACAAUGUUAAUUUUAUGUACAAUGUUACAAUGUAAUGUAAUUUAUUCCACAGUGUUUAACUGCUGUGCAGUUUUUCUGUUUAAUUUUUAAGAAAAAUUGUAAUAGUAAUAAUAAUAAAAAUAAUAAUAAAAAGGUAAGUCACGUCAUUAUCAUUCUUUUUAUUUUUAUUAAUAAUUAUUUAUUUUGUAUGUACUUAUGUGUACUUGGGGUAAAUUCCACACAACUAGUUAAACGUCUAAACACACGUACAUACUCUCAUAUAAUGUGUCUUUCACAGCUGCCUCUUGAUUGAAGACUUCUGUCACAGUUUCCCUAAUUUAGGAAACACAUGCUUCAUGAACUCUGUUGCAGUGUCUCACCGGCUCCUCUUUCCGGGACGAUGUGUUUCUCAGCGGAAAUCUUGGAAUGAGGGAAGCACAAUGCUCAGGUACCAACACCACUGAACAUAUUAGAUGAAGUUAUGGACAUUAUAUUUAAAUCAACCUGCAAAACUAAAGCAAUUCUACAUAAAUUAAACGAAUACAUUUCUCUCCAUGACUAGGCUGACAGGCAAUGACAAGAAGCUGAAGAUAAAGCUCUUGUCUACAGUGAAGGCCUGCACUGAAACUCACCAUCCUGAUUUCUUCGGAGACCAUCAGCAGGAGGAGGGCGAGCUUCUACAGAAGACACUUGUCCUGCAGCAAACAUGGAGUUCCAGCUCAACCGCCGGCGCACCUGUGGCAGAGGAGUUUCAGAGAGGAUCACGACUACCUCUCACUGGUCCUCAGUCCUCAAGGACGCCUCAUAGACAGCCUGCAGCAGUACUUUAAAGGGAGUGACAUCACUGAUGACAUCAUAUCAGCAGCAGGACGUACAGGUCAACAAGUUUAAGUAGUUUCUGACUGGCUGCUGUCUGUGUUGUUUGUUUUCUCCAGACUUCUUCGUUUGACUGCUCAUGCCUCUGAGGCGCUGGCACAGUACAACACCCUGUUAAUCAGUUAAUACCCUGCAGGAUAACUGAACACAAACUCCUGAUCAUCUCAAAGUCUCUGCAGGGUGCCGGUGCUUCUGAUUAUGCUCUCUGACGGGGAAUCCUGUAGCUGGAGGAUCGACUGGAAGAUCCAGAAGAGUUUUCCCUGUCCAGCAGUGCAGGAAACGCUCAGGUCAUCAAACAUCUGACCUCUGCUGGUCAGCUAUGAAACACUCACCUGAACCAGUUUAAAAGAGGAUGGUUGCUCUGAAAACAUCUGAAUCAUGUUUAAGCAUGCAUUGAGUAUUUACUGAAUUGUUUUUUUUUUCUUUGAUAUAUGAUCUUCAACAGAGAGCAGAAAGAUCACAGUGGCAAACAGUGGCCCAAAACAACAACAAAAGAGGAAGGCGAAGAGGAAAAAAGAAAUAAAGCUAAAGCUAAAUAUCA